UACAGAGGCCCCAAGCAUUAUCCGGAAUCACUGGGCGUAAAGGGUGUGUAGGUGGUCUUGUUAGUCUUUCGUUAAAGCUCCCGACUCAAUCGGGAAAAUGCGAGAGAAACGGCAAAACUGGAGGGUGCGAGAGGUAUAUGGAACUCAUGGAGUAGGGGUGGAAUCCGUUGAUAUCAUGGGGAACACCAAAAGCGAAGGCAAUAUACUGGCGCAUUCCUGACACUGAAACACGAAAGCGUAGGUAGCGAAUGGG
rnacentral:rRNA from 1 species